rnacentral:rRNA from 1 species
GGGGAAUUUUGGACAAUGGGGGCAACCCUGAUCCAGCCAUGCCGCGUGCGGGAAGAAGGCCUUCGGGUUGUAAACCGCUUUUAGUCGGGAAGAAAAGAUCACGGAUAACACCUGUGGUUCUUGACGGUACCGGCGGAAUAAGCACCGGCUAACUACGUGCCAGCAGCCGCGGUAAUACGUAGGGUGCGAGCGUUAAUCGGAAUUACUGGGCGUAAAGCGUGCGCAGGCGGUUCGUUAAGUUCGAUGUGAAAGCCCCGGGCUCAACCUGGGAACUGCAUUGGAAACUGGCGAGCUUGAGUGUGGCAGAGGGGGGUGGAAUUCCGCGUGUAGCAGUGAAAUGCGUAGAGAUGCGGAGGAACACCGAUGGCGAAGGCAGCCCCCUGGGCCAACACUGACGCUCAGGCACGAAAGCGUGGGGAGCAAAC